UACGAAGGGGGCUAGCGUUGCUCGGAAUUACUGGGCGUAAAGCGCACGUAGGCGGUCUUUUAAGUCGGGGGUGAAAUCCUGGAGCUCAACUCCAGAACUGCCUUCGAUACUGGAAGACUCGAGUCCGGGAGAGGUGAGUGGAACUGCGAGUGUAGAGGUGAAAUUCGUAGAUAUUCGCAAGAACACCAGUGGCGAAGGCGGCUCACUGGCCCGGUACUGACGCUGAGACGCGAAAGCGUGGGGAGCGAACAGG
rnacentral:rRNA from 1 species